UGACAGGUGAACCAUGGUUGUCGUCAGCUCGUGUCGUGAGAUGUUGGGUUAAGUCCCGCAACGAGCGCAACCCUUAUUACUAGUUGCCAGCAUUUAGUUGGGCACUCUAGUGAGACUGCCGGUGACAAACCGGAGGAAGGUGGGGAUGACGUCAAAUCAUCAUGCCCCUUAUGACCUGGGCUACACACGUGCUACAAUGGAUGGUACAACGAGUCGCAAGGUCGCGAGGCCAAGCUAAUCUCUUAAAGCCAUUCUCAGUUCGGAUUGUAGGCUGCAACUCGCCUACAUGAAGCCGGAAUCGCUAGUAAUCGCGGAUCAGAACGCCGCGGUGAAUACGUUCCCGGGUCUUGUACACACCGCACGUCACACCACGAGAGUUUGUAACACCCGAAGCCGGUGAGGUAACCUUUUAGGAGCCAGCCGUCUAAGGUGGGAUAGAAAAUAUGG
rnacentral:rRNA from 1 species